rnacentral:rRNA from 2 species
UACGUAGGUGGCAAGCGUUGUCCGGAUUUAUUGGGCGUAAAGCGAGCGCAGGCGGAAGAAUAAGUCUGAUGUGAAAGCCCUCGGCUUAACCGAGGAACUGCAUCGGAAACUGUUUUUCUUGAGUGCAGAAGAGGAGAGUGGAACUCCAUGUGUAGCGGUGGAAUGCGUAGAUAUAUGGAAGAACACCAGUGGCGAAGGCGGCUCUCUGGUCUGCAACUGACGCUGAGGCUCGAAAGCAUGGGUAGCGAACAGG